CUACCAGACUCCUACGGGAGGCAGCAGUGGGGGAUAUUGCACAAUGGGGGGAACCCUGAUGCAGCGACGCCGCGUGGGUGAAGAAGCGCCUCGGCGCGUAAAGCCCUGUCAGCAGGGAAGAAAAUGACGGUACCUGAAGAAGAAGCCCCGGCUAACUACGUGCCAGCAGCCGCGGUAAUACGUAGGGGGCAAGCGUUAUCCGGAUUUACUGGGCGUAAAGGGGGCGCAGACGGCGAUGCAAGCCAGGAGUGAAAGCCCGGGGCCCAACCCUGGGACUGCUCUGGAAACUGUAAAGCUGGAGUGCGGGAGGGGCAGGCGGAAUUCCUGGUGUAGCGGUGAAAUGCGUAGAUAUCAGGAGGAACACCGGCGGCGAAGGCGGCCUGCUGGACCGCGACUGACGUUGAGGCUCGAAAGCGUGGGGAGCGAACAGGAUUAGAUACCCCCGUAC
rnacentral:rRNA from 1 species